AGAGUUUGAUCCUGGCUCAGAUUGAACGCUGGCGGUAUGCUUAACACAUGCAAGUCGAACGGUAACAGCGUAAGCUUGCUUCCGGCUGACGAGUGGCGAACGGGUGAGUAACGCGUGGGGAAUCUGCCCUCGAGUUGGGGAUAACACUCCCAACGGAGUGCUAAUACCGAAUACGACCGCGGAGUCGCAUGACUCUGAGAUCAAAGGUGGCCUCUACUUGUAAGCUACCGCUUGAGGAUGAUCCCGCGUCCCAUUAGCUUGUUGGUGGGGUAAUGGCCCACCAAGGCGACGAUGGGUAGCUGGUCUGAGAGGAUGGUCAGCCACACUGGGACUGAGAUACGGCCCAGACUCCUACGGGAGGCAGCAGUCGAGAGGCUUCGGCAAUGGGGGAAACCCUGACCGAGCGACGCCGCGUGGGCGAUGAAGGCCGUAAGGUUGUAAAGCCCUGUCGAGAGGGAAGAAAUGCAGGUGUUCAAACAGGCCAUCUGUUUGACGGUACCUCUAGAGGAAGCUCCGGCUAACUCCGUGCCAGCAGCCGCGGUAAUACGGGGGGAGCGAACGUUGUUCGGAAUUACUGGGCGUAAAGGGCGCGUAGGCGGCAUGGUUAGUGGAAUGUGAAAUGCCCUGGCUCAACCAGGGAACUGCAUUCCAUACUGCCAAGCUUGAGCACAGGAGAGGAUGGGGGAAUUCCCGGUGUAGCGGUGGAAUGCAUUGAUAUCGGGAGGAACACCAGUGGCGAAGGCGCCCAUCUGGCCUGAUACUGACGCUCAGGCGCGAAAGCUAGGGGAGCAAACAGGAUUAGAUACCCUGGUAGUCCUAGCCGUAAACGGUGAGCACUAGGUGUAGGAGGCAUCGACCCCUCCUGUGCCGCAGCUAACGCAUUAAGUGCUCCGCCUGGGGAGUACGACCGCAAGGUUGAAACUCAAAGGAAUUGACGGGGCCCCGCACAAGCGGUGGAGCAUGUGGUUUAAUUCGAUGCAACGCGAAGAACCUUACCCAGGUUUGACAUGCACCGGACAGGUGUGGAAACACACCCUCCCUUCGGGGUCGGUGUACAGGUGCUGCAUGGCUGUCGUCAGCUCGUGUCGUGAGAUGUUGGGUUAAGUCCCGCAACGAGCGCAACCCUUGUCCUUAGUUGCCAGCGGAUAAUGCCGCGCACUCUAGGGAGACUGCCGUCGACAAGACGGAGGAAGGUGGGGAUGACGUCAAGUCCUCAUGGUCCUUAUACCUGGGGCUACACACGUGCUACAAUGGUCGGUACAGAGGGUUGCAAUACCGCGAGGUGGAGCUAAUCCCAAAAAGCCGGCCUCAGUUCGGAUUGUAGUCUGCAACUCGACUGCAUGAAGGCGGAAUCGCUAGUAAUCGCUGAUCAGCAGGCAGCGGUGAAUAUGUUCCCGGGGCUUGUACACACCGCCCGUCAAGCCACGAAAGUCGGCAGUACCCGAAGUCGCUAUCCUAACCGUAAGGAGGGAAGCGCCUAAGGUAAGGCUGGCGAUUGGGGCUAAGUCGUAACAAGGUA
rnacentral:rRNA from 1 species